rnacentral:rRNA from 1 species
AUUGAACGCUGGCGGAAUGCUUUACACAUGCAAGUCGAACGGCAGCACGGACUUCGGUCUGGUGGCGAGUGGCGAACGGGUGAGUAAUAUAUCGGAACGUGCCCAGUCGUGGGGGAUAACGUAGUGAAAAUUACGCUAAUACCGCAUACGAUCUAUGGAUGAAAGCGGGGGAUCGCAAGACCUCGCGCGAUUGGAGCGGCCGAUAUCAGAUUAGGUAGUUGGUGAGGUAAAGGCUCACCAAGCCGACGAUCUGUAGCUGGUCUGAGAGGACGACCAGCCACACUGGAACUGAGACACGGUCCAGACUCCUACGGGAGGCAGCAGUGGGGAAUUUUGGACAAUGGACGCAAGUCUGAUCCAGCCAUUCCGCGUGCAGGACGAAGGCCUUCGGGUUGUAAACUGCUUUUGUACAGAACGAAAAGGUCUCUAUUAAUACUAGGGGCUCAUGACGGUACUGUAAGAAUAAGCACCGGCUAACUACGUGCCAGCAGCCGCCGUAA